rnacentral:rRNA from 1 species
UACGGAGGGUGCAAGCGUUAUCCGGAUUUAUUGGGUUUAAAGGGUCCGUAGGCGGACUCGUAAGUCAGUGGUGAAAUCUCAUAGCUUAACUAUGAAACUGCCAUUGAUACUGCGGGUCUUGAGUAAAGUAGAAGUGGCUGGAAUAAGUAAUGUAGCGGUGAAAUGCAUAGAUAUUACUUAGAACACCAAUUGCGAAGGCAGGUCACUAUGUUUUAACUGACGCUGAUGGACGAAAGCGUGGGGAGCGAACAGG